rnacentral:rRNA from 1 species
AGCAGCCGCGGUAAUUCCAGCUCCAAUAGCGUAUAUUAAAGUUGUUGCAGUUAAAAAGCUCGUAGUUGAAUUUCGGGAUUAGUGCGCUGGUCAUGCCUUUGGUAUGUACUGGUGUUACUGGUUCCUACCUUCUGAAGAACCGUCAUGUCAUUAAUUUGGUGUGGUGGGGAAUCAGGACUGUUACUUUGAAAAAUUAGAGUGUUUAAAGCAGGCUCGCGCUUGAAUACAUUAGCAUGGAAUAAUGAAAUAGGACGUUUGACCCUAUUUUGUUGGUUUCUAGGAUCGACGUAAUGAUUAAUAGGGAUAGUUGGGGGCAUUAGUAUUCAAUUGUCAGAGGUGAAAUUCUUUGGGAUUCAUUGAAGACUAACUACUGCGAAAGCAUUUGCCAAGGAUGUUUUCAUUAAUCAAGAACG